ACCUACAGCCCCAACCCUAACCCUAACCCUACCUACAGCCACAUCCCUAACCCCAACCCUACCUACAGCCCAAACCCUACCCCUAACCCCAUUUACAGCCACAACCCUAACCCUACCUACAGCUCCCACCCUAACCAUAGUCCCUACUCUUACCCUCACCUCAGCCCUCAAUCCAGCCCCAUACCCCAUCCUAACCAGCCCGGCCCAAGCCCUUCCUAUAUUCCCUACCCAAACCCUAGCCCUAGAUGCAGCCCUCUCUACCUCUCUCCCCCUCUCCUUCUGCGUGGGGGGUGGGAGUCAGAGAGGGGGGUAAGUCCAGCCGUCCAGCAGAUGACCACAGAGAGGAGAGGACCACACGUGAACCACCUGAAUCAAUUGAAUCACUUGAACCAUUUCAAUCAAUUGAACCAUCUGAAGCCUCUCUACUCGCCCCCAGCACAGCAGACACAGAUGACAUUGAGAGAACAUUUGGGAAACUAUGAGACACCAAACUGCAGCAGGUUGCUGUGUUCUGUGUGUCAGAGGGUCUUUAAGAGUCUUCCUGCUCUGAACGGACACAUGCGCUCUCACGGAGGACUCCGAGGACAGACCGGCAGGUCACAAACAUACAGAACCCAGAAGGAAGGGGUGAUUCCAGGGUCUCCUGUCCCCAUAGUGAUGCCUGUCUCUGUGCCCGUCAGACUCCCUGCCUCCCCCCUUCCAUGCCUGGAAGAGGAGCGCCAAGAGGGGGAGGAUGAGGGAAGGAAAGAAAGGAAAAAAGACAAGAGGAGGUAUCCCCAUCGCCACCCUCCUCUUGUCCUGCCCUGCCAGUCCACUAGGGGUGUUGUGGUGUUCCAGAGUGUUCUGCGUUCAAUUGUUCAACUGACCUACUACACCCCUCCUCCCUUGCUGAGGCCAGACAGGGAGGGAACUGGGCUAUACUGCUCUCUAACCACGAGUGAUGGUGACUUGCUAAUGUCUGGGGAGCAGACAAUAAAGAUCAAACCGAGGAUCAACGUGGGGAUUGGAUUUCAGGCUGAUGUCCCACCUCUUCAGGACCAAAGACACUCUCACUCAGACACCCACAAUGCACUGGUGUUGUGGACGCCCUGGGAUGCCCUGGAGAACUCAUCCACCCAGCACAGAGUGGAGUGUCUGUUGAUGAUGUCACGUUCCAGUGUGUGUCCAGGGGGCGGGACUAACUCUGAGUACGCCCUGCACAGCCUAUCUGAGAGCAGAGGAGACUUCCUGGAGACUCUGGAGAAGAUGCUCCUUCAGCACUGGCCGAUGCCAGCCAACGCUCUCUCCUCCUACCACUACGCAGGGAGUGAUAAGUGGAGUCCAGUGGAGAAGAGAUUGGUGAAGAAAGCCUUUAUGAUGUACCAGAAGGACUUCCACCGCAUUCAGAAAACAGUGGGGACUAAGUCAGUGUCUCAGUGUGUAGAGUAUUACUACACCUGGAAGAGGAGGCUGCGUCUAAAUGUAAGGACCCCAGUCGGGCUGGCCAGCACACUGCCUGAGCAGGAUCAGAUGGUGACAGGUGUCCCAGCAGGGUCAGACAGCCAGGGAAGACCAGUCUACGGAGCUCAGGUGAAUUUUGCAGUAUAUUAUAACAACCAGUGAAUGGAUACAACGUUCCAUCUUGAGUUGAUGGGUUGGCUACAGUCUGGGAUCUGGGAAUAAUAAUUUCAAUUAUUGAACCAUUGAUUCUAUUCUUGGAUAAUAUAAUGUAUAAAUGUACACCAAGGUAAUUCUUUGUCAUGCCUCAUCUGAGCAGGAUCAGAUGGUGACUGGGGUCUCAUCAGGGUCAGGCAACCAGGGAACUUCCAUAGAUACAACCCUUUAUUCUCUCUGUGCAGCAAACACUGGACAAGCAAGAAGCUUCAAAGUUGGAACUGUUUUAAGGCAGUCUGAUAAACCUCUCAAGUUGAUUUCCAAACUGUAUCAAGGUUGAUAGAGGCUUUUCCCAAUGACACAAAACAUGUAAAACAAAAAUGUGAGGAAAGACUUGGGAGACACUAGGAGAGAUACCUAUUUAGGCAAUCCCUAGCUGCUGGGCUGCUCAUUCCUGGCCCUUGGGCUCUGUUGUACUGUUGGUUGUCACUCUGGCCUUGGCCUAAGACACCUGAAACCAAUAAGGAAUGUUUCACUAAGAUCCUAAAGCUGGGUGUGUUGGGUUGGGGCACUGCAGGGCCGUGGACCUCUAGGUACUAUGUACUAUUAGUACUAUUAGGCCUAUGAUGUGAAUUACAUGGAGGAUGUACUGCUUCUGUGUGUUCAUGUGUAGGAGGUCUAUGUCUGUUUUGUUAAAACUAUUGUUUUUCAAACAUUUCCCUUAAGACAUAAAAAAAAGAGAUGGGAAGGAAGUUGUUGGGGAGAGAGUUAUUAACUAGACUGGUGGGGGUCAGGCAUGCAGGCGGCUCGGGCUGGCUGGGCGGCUCUGGCUGGCUGGGAGGCUCUGGCUGGCUGUGCAGCUCUGGCUGGCUGGGCGGCUCGGGCUGGCUAGGCGGCUCUGGCUGGCUGGGCGGCUCUGGCUGGCUGAGUGGCUCGGGCUGGCUGAGCGGCUCUGGCUGAAAUUUCAUAUAGAGGAUGUCUUAAAGACACUCAAAAGUGAAGUCUUUGUACUUCAUUUGUAAGAGUUGUUCAUUUGUUAGGCUAUUAGUUAAUAAAGGUGGAACACAAUAUUGAAUUAUCAUUGAUCUAGUUCAGUCUUAUCAAUCACUUACCUAGCUUGAUGACUGCUAGAAGGGCUAUGGGUCAUUUUAGAUUGUGUAGAAAUACAGGAAAUUAGCUUUAGAUGCCCCCAAAAAUGGGAGGACCUUCAAUGAACCCCCCCACUUCUAAAACUAAAGUUGCGCCCCUGUAGAUAGACCACAAAGAUUGUCAUUUUCCCCUCACUAUAAUGGGGGGGUCUUGUUUUCUACAAACAAUGCCUGCAGUACCAUGGUCGGCCUUGAACUUUGUGGCUUCACUGAGAGGGGGCAGUCGUUCUCCCCUGCUCUGGGCCCACAGCCAAUCACAUCGUCUCCCUCGUCAGCGGGGACUACAAUGACAGACAGGUGAGUGUCUCUGUGGAGAGAAAUAGAGACAGAGAGAGUGCAAUAUUUACUGUCCAUUUCAAAUUAAAAAAACUAUGUUGUUUUGUGUCUUCUCACUUUUGUUUAUUGUUUAUUUCAGUUGCUUAGGCAAUGUAAACACUUUUCCCAUUGCCAAUAAAGCUCAUUUGAUUUGAACUGAAAAGAGAGAGAGAGAGAGAGAGAGAGAGAGAGAGAGAGAGAGAAGCCAGACAAGGUAUAGAGAGAACCUACCAGACUAGCUGUCAGUACUACUGUAACCUGUUCUCUCUCUAGGUCUAUCCAUCUCAGCCCACCAUGAAUGGUAAGAUGGGGCUCCACGCCAUUUCCACACAGAAUGCCUGCCAACCGAUCCACAGUAGUUCCUCCUGUCCCCUUCUCCAGCUCCAGUCCCAGACCGAGCGACUCUCCCCCCCAGCGCCAAGCACCACACACAGCCUACCCCUCCAUACCCCUGUAGGGCGUGUGCCAAGGUGUUCUCUAAAGUGAAGAGUCGUAAUGCUCACAUGAAGACACGUCGCCAUGAGGACCACCAGGAGGAGCAGCACUGACCCUAAACCCUACACCAGCACUGACCCUAAACCUAAAACCCUACACCAGCACUGACCCUAAACCCUAAACCCUACACCAGCACUGACCCUAA